UAAUACGUAGGGCGCAAGCGUUUUCCGGAAUUAUUGGGCGUAAAGAGCUCGUAGGCGGUUUGUCGCGUCUGCUGUGAAAACCCGAGGCUCAACCUCGGGCCUGCAGUGGGUACGGGCAGACUAGAGUGAUGUAGGGGAGACUGGAAUUCCUGGUGUAGCGGUGAAAUGCGCAGAUAUCAGGAGGAACACCGAUGGCGAAGGCAGGUCUCUGGGCAUUUACUGACGCUGAGGAGCGAAAGCAUGGGGAGCGAACAGG
rnacentral:rRNA from 1 species